rnacentral:lncRNA from 1 species
CGGUCCAACGAUUUACAGAAAAGAGCGACGAUUUACAGAAAAGAACAGAAAAGAACAGAAAAGGACCAAAAAGAACCGAAAAGAACCGAAAAGAGCAUACAUAUAAAUUAUUAUUUAAUAUAUAUACACCAAUUUUUCACCCUUGUAAUAAAGGAAUGUAUAGUUCAAAUUUAUUUUGAACAUUUAUAGGGAUAUGUAGACUUACAAAAAAAGUUAGAUUUCCCUGUAUCAGAUUAAGG